rnacentral:snRNA from 1 species
UACCUGACCUGGCAGGGGAGACACCAUGAUCAAGAAGGCAGUUCACCCAGGGCGAGGCUUGACCAUUGCACUCUGGCCAUGCUAACCCCUGCAAAUUCCCCAAACGUGGGAAUCUCGACUGCAUAAUUUAUGGUAAUUUAUGGUAUGGUCAUGAU